UCAUAUGGAUUCCUACGGGAGGCAGCAGUGGGGAAUAUUGGACAAUGGGCGAAAGCCUGAUCCAGCAAUACCGCGUGUGUGAAGAAGGCCUUAGGGUUGUAAAGCACUUUCAAUUGGGAGGAAAACCUGCCGGUCAAUACCCGGUAGCUUGACAUUACCUUUAGAAGAAGCACCGGCUAACUCCGUGCCAGCAGCCGCGGUAAUACGGAGGGUGCGAGCGUUAAUCGGAAUUACUGGGCGUAAAGCGUGCGUAGGCGGUUCGUUAAGUCAGAUGUGAAAGCCCUGGGCUCAACCUGGGAACUGCAUUUGAAACUGGCGGACUAGAGUUUAGUAGAGGGGAGUGGAAUUUCAGGUGUAGCGGUGAAAUGCGUAGAUAUCUGAAGGAACACCAGUGGCGAAGGCGACUCCCUGGACUAGAACUGACGCUGAGGUACGAAAGCGUGGGUAGCAAACAGGAUUAGAUACCCUGGUAGUCCACGCCGUAAACGAUGUCUACUAGCUGUUCGUGACCUUGUGUUGUGAGUAGCGCAGCUAACGCAUUAAGUAGACCGCCUGGGGAGUACGGUCGCAAGAUUAAAACUCAAAUGAAUUGACGGGGGCCCGCACAAGCGGUGGAGCAUGUGGUUUAAUUCGACGCAACGCGAAGAACCUUACCUACUCUUGACAUCUACAGAAGACUGCAGAGAUGCGGUUGUGCCUUCGGGAACUGUAAGACAGGUGCUGCAUGGCUGUCGUCAGCUCGUGUUGUGAAAUGUUGGGUUAAGUCCCGCAACGAGCGCAACCCUUAUCCUUAGUUGCCAGCGAUUCGGUCGGGAACUCUAGGGAGACUGCCGGUGAUAAACCGGAGGAAGGUGGGGACGACGUCAAGUCAUCAUGGCCCUUACGAGUAGGGCUACACACGUGCUACAAUGGUAUGUACAGAGGGAGGCGAUGCCGCGAGGCGGAGCGGAUCUCUUAAAGCAUAUCGUAGUCCGGAUCGCAGUCUGCAACUCGACUGCGUGAAGUCGGAAUCGCUAGUAAUCGCAAAUCAGAAUGUUGCGGUGAAUACGUUCCCGGGCCUUGUACACACCGCCAU
rnacentral:rRNA from 1 species